rnacentral:rRNA from 1 species
UACGAAGGUGGCAAGCGUUACUCGGAAUUACUAGGCGUAAAGGGCAGGUAGGUGGUUUGGUUAGUCUGUUGUGAAAGCUCCCUGCUUAACGGGGAGAGGCCAACAGAUACUGCCAGACUUGAGUAUAGGAGAGGGUACUGGAAUUCCCGGUGUAGCGGUGAAAUGCGCAGAGAUCGGGAGGAACACCAAUGGCGAAAGCAGGUACCUGGACUAUUACUGACACUCAGCUGCGAAAGCUAGGGGAGCAAACAGG